rnacentral:lncRNA from 1 species
CCAAGCAAAAUACAAACGAGUAGGCAACAGCAAAAUGUAUAAUAACUAUUUCCAAGGCACUCAAAAAUCUGAGAUAUAGUCAUCGAAUGCUAACUCAUACCAUCAACGAAACAAAGCAAAGAUAGACUAAGUAAACGAUCAAAUAACGAUGUUAAGCAAAACAAGGUAGAAGGAAUGAGAAAUGAACCUCAAAUGAAUCUGAAAAUUUUACUUGUGAAGGCGUUAUGAACUCAAAAUUUGGACGAACCGCAGAUGGGAAUUUGAAUCGGCACCAGAAUUUGAACAUCUCCUCGGCUUUAACCCAUUUUGGACGAAAUUCAGAAUACGAAACUUGUUUUUCUUUUUAAACAAUUUUUGAAUUUGAAAUGAAACCAAACUUAGAUGGAACUAAUUCACUGUAUAACGCAACUCCGCCUCUGUUCCGAAUCCAACGUUGAGCAAGAGAAACCAAGAUAGUACUACAUUUUUAUCUUGUUUUUCGGCUGUGUUGGUGCGUGUGUGUCUAUGUAGGAUUAGCAGAAACGAUGUAGAGCGAUGUGGCUGUAUUGUUGCUGUUAGUCGUAGAAGAACAAGAGGGGUCGUUUAUAGCUGUUCAGCGGCGAGAAGGGUGGUUCGGCGGCACUGGUAUUUAUCGCGGUUGUGGAGUGAAGGAGAAAUGAGAUCUGGCCGGCGGUUUCUAUUUCUGGGUGUUUGGAGUGAGGUCAGUAGGCAGCCGUGGCUGCUAGUUUUUCCAGCGAGUGCGAUGUGAAGAAGAAGAGCGGGUGGCAGAAAGCUAUGUAGCGUGAGUGAGCAUGCGUCUAUGGUAGUGAGGGUGGGUCUCGCAGAGAGUUUAGGGUGGUUGUUUGGUGGCGGCUGCUAGUGUCUCUUCAUUGUUGUCUUGUGUGCUAGGGUUUAGAUUUUAGUCCUAUGGUUGAGGAAGAUAUGACAGCCAUGGGAGUACUAGUUGUCUUCUUGAUAGGGUGUUGAGGUCUUGGUGAGGAAGAUGAAGAUGGCUAGGAUUUUUGUUAUAUCUUGUUCUUGUGUUAAAAGAAGAAGUAGGCUCAAAAUU